rnacentral:misc_RNA from 1 species
GAUGAAGAACGUAGCGAAAUGCGAUAAGUAAUGUGAAUUGCAGAAUUCAGUGAAUCAUCGAAUCUUUGAACGCACAUUGCGCCCGCCAGUAUUCUGGCGGGCAUGCCUGUUCGAGCGUCAUUUCAACCCUCAGGCCCCGCCUGGCGUUGGGGAUCGGCGCGGCCCUCUCCGGGCUGCCGGCCCCGAAAACUAGUGGCGGUCUCGCUGUAGUCCUCCUCUGCGCAGUAGCAACGCUCGCACUGGAACUCGGCGCGGCCACGCCGUAAAACACCCCACUUCUGAAAGUUGACCUCGGAUCAGGUAGGAAUACCCGCUGAACUUAAGCAUAUCAAAAGCGGAGGA